rnacentral:rRNA from 1 species
CCCUUAGAUGUCCGGGGCCGCACGCGCGCUACACUGAAGGAAUCAGCGUGGCUUUCUCCCUGACCCGAAAGGGUUGGGAAACCCGUUGAAUCUCCUUCGUGAUAGGGAUUGGGGCUUGAAAUUGUUCCCCAUGAACGAGGAAUUCCCAGUAAGCGCGAGUCAUAAGCUCGCGUUGAUUACGUCCCUGCCCUUUGUACACACCGCCCGUCGCUACUACCGAUUGAACGGUUUAGUGAGGGCCUCGGAUUGGCGCCACUGCGGCUCAGCAAUGGGCUCGGUGGAUGCCGAAAAGUUGAUCAAACUUGAUCAUUUAGAGGAAGUAAAAGUCGUAACA